GAUCUGGCGGAGAGGGAACGCAUCUGGAAGAUGUGUCUUCAGGACGAAGAACACAGGGACUGCUUAGGACGAGUGAAGGGACGUUUCAGGAUGAAACAAGGGACACCUCCAGGAUGGAGAUUGAGAGCCAGUUCAGGAUGAUUGGUGGGUUAGGAUAGCCUAAGGAUUAACGCCGGGAUGGUGUAUAACAUUGCGAUGGAUUGCUGGUUAGUAUAACCAUACGGAAAAGUUUUCAGGGAUUGAGCAGGGAGCAUCAAUUUUAGCUGGAUUGCUAUAAAACGAAUUGAGGGGUACUGGUAAAACAGUACCCCUUUUUGUGCCC
rnacentral:other from 21 species